UGGGGAAUCUUGCGCAAUGGCCGAAAGGCUGACGCAGCGACGCCGCGUGGGGGAUGAAGGUUUUCGGAUCGUAAACCCCUGUUGCCCGGGACGAAACUCCUUUUUCGAGAGGAUUGACGGUACCGGGUGAGGAAGCACCGGCUAACUCCGUGCCAGCAGCCGCGGUAAUACGGAGGGUGCGAGCGUUGUCCGGAAUCACUGGGCGUAAAGGGCGCGUAGGCGGCUUGGCAAGUCAAUGGUGAAAGCUCGUGGCUCAACUGCGAGUCGGCCACUGAUACUGCUAGGCUUGAGCACUGUAGAGGCAGAUGGAAUUCCGGGUGUAGCGGUGGAAUGCGUAGAGAUCCGGAAGAACACCGGUGGCGAAGGCGGUCUGCUGGGCAGUUGCUGACGCUGAGGCGCGACAGCGUGGGGAGCAAACA
rnacentral:rRNA from 1 species